AGGUAAGCUACUAAGAGCGAAUGGUGGAUGCCUUGACUGGUAAAGGCGAUGAAGGACGUACUAGACUGCGAUAAGCUACGGGGAGCUGUCAAGAAGCUUUGAUCCGUAGAUUUCCGAAUGGGGCAACCCAAUGUAUAGAGAUAUACAUUACCUAUAUAGGAGCGAACGAGGGGAAUUGAAACAUCUUAGUACCCUCAGGAAAAGAAAUCAAUAGAGAUUGCGUCAGUAGCGGCGAGCGAAAGCGCAAGAGGGCAAACCCAGUGCUUGCACUGGGGGUUGUAGGACUGCAAUGUGCAAGAGCUGAGUUUAGCAGAACAUUCUGGAAAGUAUAGCCAUAGAGGGUGAUAGUCCCGUAUGCGAAAAACAAAGCUUAGCUAGCAGUAUCCUGAGUAGGGCGGGACACGAGGAAUCCUGUCUGAAUCCGGGUCGACCACGAUCCAACCCUAAAUACUAAUACCAGAUCGAUAGUGCACAAGUACCGUGAGGGAAAGGUGAAAAGAACUGAGGUGAUCAGAGUGAAAUAGAACCUGAAACCAUUUGCUUACAAUCAUUCAGAGCACUAUGUAGCAAUACAGUGUGAUGGACUGCCUUUUGCAUAAUGAGCCUGCGAGUUGUGGUGUCUGGCAAGGUUAAGCAAACGCGAAGCCGUAGCGAAAGCGAGUCUGAAUAGGGCGCUUAGUCAGAUGCUGCAGACCCGAAACGAAGUGAUCUAUCCAUGAGCAAGUUGAAGCUAGUGUAAGAACUAGUGGAGGACUGAACCCAUAGGCGUUGAAAAGCCCCGGGAUGACUUGUGGAUAGGGGUGAAAGGCCAAUCAAACUUCGUGAUAGCUGGUUCUCUCCGAAAUAUAUUUAGGUAUAGCGUUGUGUCGUAAUAUAAGGGGGUAGAGCACUGAAUGGGCUAGGGCAUACACCAAUGUACCAAACCCUAUCAAACUCCGAAUACCUUAUAUGUAAUCACAGCAGUCAGGCGGCGAGUGAUAAAAUCCGUCGUCAAGAGGGAAACAACCCAGACUACCAGCUAAGGUCCCUAAGUCUUACUUAAGUGGAAAACGAUGUGAAGUUACUUAAACAACCAGGAGGUUGGCUUAGAAGCAGCCAUCCUUUAAAGAAAGCGUAAUAGCUCACUGGUCUAGUGAUUUUGCGCGGAAAAUAUAACGGGGCUAAAGUAAGUACCGAAGCUGUAGACUUAGUUUACUAAGUGGUAGGAGAGCGUUCUAUUUGCGUCGAAGGUAUACCGGUAAGGAGUGCUGGAGCGAAUAGAAGUGAGCAUGCAGGCAUGAGUAGCGAUAAUUAAUGUGAGAAUCAUUAACGCCGUAAACCCAAGGUUUCCUACGCGAUGCUCGUCAUCGUAGGGUUAGUCGGGUCCUAAGUCGAGUCCGAAAGGGGUAGACGAUGGCAAAUUGGUUAAUAUUCCAAUACCAACAUUAGUGUGCGAUGGAAGGACGCUUAGGGCUAAGGGGGCUAGCGGAUGGAAGUGCUAGUCUAAGGUCGUAGGAGGUUAUACAGGCAAAUCCGUAUAACAAUACUCCGAGAACUGAAAGGCUUUUUGAAGUCUUCGGAUGGAUAGAAGAACCCCUGAUGCCGUCGAGCCAAGAAAAGUUUCUAAGUUUAGCUAAUGUUGCCCGUACCGUAAACCGACACAGGUGGGUGGGAUGAGUAUUCUAAGGCGCGUGGAAGAACUCUCUUUAAGGAACUCUGCAAAAUAGCACCGUAUCUUCGGUAUAAGGUGUGGUUAGCUUUGUAUUAGGAUUUACUCCGAAAGCAAGGAAACUUACAACAAAGAGUCCCUCCCGACUGUUUACCAAAAACACAGCACUCUGCUAACUCGUAAGAGGAUGUAUAGGGUGUGACGCCUGCCCGGUGCUCGAAGGUUAAUUGAUGGGGUUAGCAUUAGCGAAGCUCUUGAUCGAAGCCCGAGUAAACGGCGGCCGUAACUAUAACGGUCCUAAGGUAGCGAAAUUCCUUGUCGGUUAAAUACCGACCUGCAUGAAUGGCGUAACGAGAUGGGAGCUGUCUCAAAGAGGGAUCCAGUGAAAUUGUAGUGGAGGUGAAAAUUCCUCCUACCCGCGGCAAGACGGAAAGACCCCGUGGACCUUUACUACAGCUUGACACUGCUACUUGGAUAAGAAUGUGCAGGAUAGG
rnacentral:rRNA from 1 species